UACGUAGGUGGCAAGCGUUGUCCGGAUUUAUUGGGUUUAAAGGGUGCGUAGGCGGCCCACUAAGUCAGUGCUGAAAUAUCCCGGCUUAACCGGGAGGGUGGCAUUGAUACUGGUGGGCUUGAGUACAGAUGAAGUAGGCGGAAUUGACGGUGUAGCGGUGAAAUGCAUAGAUAUCGUCAAGAACACCGAUAGCGAAGGCAGCUUACUAGCUGUAACUGACGCUGAGGCACGAAAAGUGUGGGGAUCAAAACAGGG
rnacentral:rRNA from 1 species